rnacentral:rRNA from 1 species
AGUAGUUUGAUCCUGGCUCGAGACGACGCUGCGGCGUGCUUCAAACAUGCAAGUCGAACGGUAGUUAAUUUAGCUUGCUAAAUUAACUUAGUGGCGGACUGGUGAGUAACGCGUGAGUAAUCUGCCUAUUACAGGGGGAUAACAGUUGGAAACGACUGCUAAUACCGCAUAAGACCACGGGAAGGCAUCUUCAAGGGGUCAAAGGGAUACUGGUAAUAGAUGAGCUUGCGUAUCAUUAGCUAGAUGGUGAGGGUAAAGGCCCACCAUGGCGACGAUGAUUAGCCGAUCUGAGAGGAUGACCGGCCACACUGGAACUGGGAUACGGUCCAGACUCCUACGGGAGGCAGCAGUUAGGAAUAUUGGGCAAUGGAGGAAACUCUGACCCAGCAACGCCGCGUGAAGGAAGAAGGUUUUCGGAUUGUAAACUUCUGAUCUUGGGGAAAAAGAAAGUGAUGGUACCCAAGGAGAAAGCCACGGCUAACUACGUG